rnacentral:rRNA from 1 species
AGGAAGAAACGCUAGCUACAGGCUUAACACACGCAAGUUCGAGGGGCAGCCAUAAUCAUCGCCUGCAAUAAAUCGAACGAACGACCGGCGCACGGGCGAGUCUUCGCGUCUCCAACCUUUCCCAUAACUAGGGGAUAAUCCGUCGAAAGGCGGUCUAAUACUUCUAUCGUUCGUUCUAUUUCAUGGCCUCAUAUCUAGAACGAAAAGAAUUAUCGGUUAUGGUUAGGGAAGCCGUCCGAAUCAGGUAGUAGGCGGGGUAACAGCCCACCUAGCCAACGAUUCGGUAGGGGUUUCUGCGAGGAAGGUCCCCCACAUUUGGAACUGAGACACGGUCCAAACUCCUACGGGAGGCAGCAGUGAGGAAUAUUUGGUCAAUGGACGAAAGUCUGAACCAGCCAAGUAGCGUGCAGGAAGACGGCCCUAUGGGUUGUAAACUGCUUUUAUGCGGGAAUAAAGUGAUUUACGUUGUAUAUCAUUUGCAUGUACCGCAUGAAUAAGGACCGGCUAAUUUCCUGCCAGCAGCCGCGGUAAUACGGAAGGUUCCGGGCGUUAUCCGGAUUUAUUGGGUUUAAAGGGAGCGUAGGCUGAAUAUUAAGCGUGUUGUGAAAUGUAGUUGCUCAACAUCUGCACUGCAGCGCGAACUGGUAUUCUUGAGUGUGCGCGACGUAGGCGGAAUUCGUGGUGUAGCGGUGAAAUGCUUAGAUAUCACGAAGAACUCCGAUUGCGAAGGCAGCUUACGAGAGCACAACUGACGCUUAAGCUCGAAGGUGCGGGUAUCGAACAGGAUUAGAUACCCUGGUAGUCCGCACAGUAAACGAUGGAUGCCCGCUAUUGGACUUUUAGUUCAGUGGCUAAGCGAAAGCGUUAAGCAUCCCACCUGGGGAGUACGCCGGCAACGGUGAAACUCAAAGGAAUUGACGGGGGCCCGCACAAGCGGAGGAACAUGUGGUUUAAUUCGAUGAUACGCGAGGAACCUUACCCGGGCUUGAACUGCCGGUGAACGAUACAGAGAUGUUGAGGCCCUUCGGGGCGCCGGUGGAGGUGCUGCAUGGUUGUCGUCAGCUCGUGCCGUGAGGUGUCGGCUUAAGUGCCAUAACGAGCGCAACCCCAUUCUCUAGUUGCCAUCGGGUAAUGCCGGGCACUCUGGAGAUACUGCCACCGUAAGGUGUGAGGAAGGUUGGGAUGACGUCAAAUCAGCACGGCCCUUACGUCCGGGGCUACACACGUGUUACAAUGGCGCAUACAGAGUGUCGGUUGUAUGUAAAUGCAAUCCAAUCUUGAAAGUGCGUCUCAGUUCGGACUGGGGUCUGCAACCCGACCCCACGAAGCUGGAUUCGCUAGUAAUCGCGCAUCAGCCAUGGCGCGGUGAAUACGUUCCCGGGCCUUGUACACACCGCCCGUC